UUAAUUCAUUACCUAGACUCUUUGACAGCCAAACACUCAGUUAACAAAAACCAAGCUAUCUCUGUUCUCUUUCCAUUCCGCUCCCACUUCUCUCCUAAGCUCUCAAAUACUUGAAUCUUCUCACUUCAUUUUCAUCUAAGGUCGAAAAUCAGUAGCUACUUUACCUCUGUGCCUUGCUUCUCAUCAUGUUAAGGGAACAAAUGGAGGACUUUGAGAUUUCAAACCACUGAGCUUCUCUCUAUUUUGCUUCAAUACCAGAAAUUUUCUUUCCUUUCGAAUAAGCCCACAUAUGGUGAAGCUCUAGCUAUUGCCUAGUCUCUAAUUGAGUGAUUUAUCGAGUUCUGGGAUUUGCCCAAUCGAAGUAUGUGACCUUAAUUCCUAUACCACUCAGUCAUUUGAACAAAUUUAAAAGUUCAACCGUUGUACCGAGUCGGGGCCUCCAUCAUUCUCAAACACAUAAGUAGAAGAACCUUACUGUUCAAAACUCACAAUCAAGAUUGGUCAGAGGAACAACAAAAGCCCUAGAAUCAUAGUCCUCCACUUUAUUGAAUAGCAUUGUUCCAAUGGAGAAGGAUCAGAAGGUAGCAUCUGAAGACCCCAAGGUGGAUAUGUUCAAGGACGAUGACGAGUUUGAAUAGUUCAACAUCAAUCUAGGUUGCUUGAUUUCUGCUAUACUUCCCCAUGAAACUAGCAAGUUUAUGACUGAGCCCGUAAGUGGUAAACGUGAUGAGUUGAUAAUAUAGGUAUGCAAUUAAUCCUCCUGUUUUUUUCCCUCUCUCUAUGAUGUCUAUAAUUCUCACCUUUUGAAUGGAUUCUGUGAUCAGUUUGUUUUUUUAGAUUGAUUUGCCAAACGACUGUGGUCACUCAAUUCAACUUGGAACUAUGAUUUUUUUUUUUUGGGUGCUUCUGUGUAAUGAAUUUGAUUGUAGUGACACCUUCUAAUUAUGUUUUGCUUUUUGUUGCGAGGAUCAUGUGUGUUCUGUGAGACGUUGUGAGAAAUUCUAAAACUUUGAUGGGCGAUCUUAGGCCUUGGUCGCCUGAGCCAAACGGCGCUGUUUUGGAGGAGAGGCUGACCUCAUCUUCUUCAUCCGUGUUUUCAAUUUCAACAAAUUAGAGGGACGUUUCCGCCGAGUACUGGCGGAGAGCGGAGGAGGCAAUGCAGGGGGUUAUAGCUCAGAUCCAACGUACUCACGUCUCCAAGCGGAGAAGGAAAGCCGCCAUUGAUUACGUUCAGAGGAUCAUUGGAGCUUGUAUUGGUUGUUAGGUGUUCCCGUUUGGAUCAGUACCUCUGAAGACAUAUCUGCCGGAUGGAGUGCUGUUCUUGAAAGGGAAGAUCACAAUAUGGCUGCUGAGUUUAUGGUGAAGGACAUGCAGUUAAUUCGGGCAAAGAACAAAUGGGGAACUCUGAGAUUUCAAACCACUAACCUCUCUAUUUUGAUCAGUAUCAGAAACUUUCUUUUGGAUCAAGGGCUCAAGUGGACUGAAGAUUGGUCCUUUGGUACUUGCUGGGAGUUGCACAUCAAGGAUUCCAGGUUAAGCUUGUAAAGUGCCUUGUGCAAAAUAUUGUGGUUGAUAUAUCCUUCAAUCAGUUAGGAGGGCUAUGUACGUUAUGCUUUCUUGAGCAGGUUGAUCGCCUCAUUGGCAAACAUCAUCUCUUUAAACGUAGUAUCAUACUGAUUAAGGCAUGGUGCUAUUGUGAGAGUCGAAUUCUCGGUGCCCAUCACGGUUUGAUAUCUACAUAUGGUUUGGUGACCUUAGUUCUUUUUAUCUACGUGUCAUUGUUUCAGGUGAAAGGAGAGUGAUACUAAGGGACCACAGUAUGCAAACAACACUUCAAAACUUGAAUCUGAUCUCUCAAGUCAGUGGAGAUCGCUCAUUCACAUGGAGGAUAUCUUUGUAAAUGAAGGCAACCACUUUACCCUGCUCAGACUGGUGUCAUUGGCUAUGGAAAUCCGACUAAACGAGCUCGUUCUUUGUCAGCUUCUUAUUAAAGAGGGAAGCCUAGUCAGAUUUUUUGGGUGCCCUAUAACUCAGGGUAUGAAAGCUUGAUUCAUGCAUAUAUUUUGUUGGCUGCCUAGAUUAAUAGAUAUGGGCCAUUUUGAACUUAUGCUCAUGAAUAGGUUUGUGUACAUGAGACAA